rnacentral:pre_miRNA from 1 species
UAGUUUUAUCUCAAGUUAAGCUUCGUUAACUUUGACUAAGUUUAUAGCAAAAUAUAUUAAGAUCUACAAUACCAAAUAAAUGCACUAGCAAGACAUAUUUAUGGUGGAUUUAAUGAAACUAAUUUGAUGUUGUAGGCGUUGGUGCAUUUUUCUAUAAACUUGGUCAAAUUUAGAGGAGUUUGACUUAGGACAAAACUAA